AAACUCCCCAUGUGUGUACUGAUCAAGCCGGCGCCUUCCGGUAAUCCUCACUGGUACCUGAAACACAUAACACAACACUUGUAAGCAUAAAUGCUUAGUGAGUUCCCCAAAAUACCACAUACCACACAUACGCCUUUCUAGGCCAUAACUCUGUAGGAUCUUCCGAUCCAAGUGUCUCAGGGGACUUCCGUCCUGAAUCCCAGUAGACCUUCCGGUCCUACCGGUAUCGACCUUCUGGUCCGUAACCUCCCGACCUUCUAGUCCGUAUCAUACAUAACAUACAUAACACAUACAUAUCACAUAACAGCAUAUGGCACAUACAUCUCAUAGCAUACAAGACCUUCCGGUCACACAUAUGUACCCUUCCAGGUACAGUAUAGUGAGAAGACUCACAUCGGUAUCUCGGAUAGUCUCGCAUUCGAAUCACACUGGUCUAGUCCCCGCCUAAACACAUAACAAUACUCUCAAAUAAAUAACGGCGCUUAAAGGCUAGAUUAAAUCCAUUCAACAAUUUCCAUAGAAGGGUAAAAGACCAUUUUACCCCUCCCUGACCCAAAAGUCCAAAGGUUGACCAAAACCAUAAAAGUCAACGAAAGUCAACAGGAGGCAGUACACGAUGCGUACCUUCUCUGUACGCGGGGCGUACGCCAACGAACCACAUUCGGGGCCUCAACCCCUUAUGCUGCCCGUAUUGAGAGUUAUGCCCAACGUAAGUCCCAGUUCAGCCAUUUCAUGGAUUUUGGUCUUAAACGGUUAAGACACUCCUUCAACUUCCAGAUCUGACUCUCUUACAACCUCUUAUUCUAUAAAGUCGUAACCUUUAAGCCUUNCAGCAUAUGGCACAUACAUCUCAUAGCAUACAAGACCUUCCGGUCACACAUAUGUACCCUUCCAGGUACAGUAUAGUGAGAAGACUCACAUCGGUAUCUCGGAUAGUCUCGCAUUCGAAUCACACUGGUCUAGUCCCCGCCUAAACACAUAACAAUACUCUCAAAUAAAUAACGGCGCUUAAAGGCUAGAUUAAAUCCAUUCAACAAUUUCC
rnacentral:lncRNA from 1 species